rnacentral:tRNA from 1 species
GGAGAGGUAGCGAAGUGGUUAAACGCAACAGACUGUAAAUCUGUCACCGUAAGGUUUCGGGGGUUCAAAUCCCUCUCUCUCCACCA